GAUUGUGAAUCCACCACGCGCGGGUUCAAUUCCCGUCGUUCGCCGGCGGAUGUGGCCAAGUGGAUCAAGGCAGUG
rnacentral:tRNA from 1 species